GUGCCAGCCGCCGCGGUAAUACGUAGGUGGCAAGCGUUGUCCGGAUUUAUUGGGCGUAAAGCGAGCGCAGGCGGUUUUUUAAGUCUGAUGUGAAAGCCUUCGGCUCAACCGAAGAAGUGCAUCGGAAACUGGGAAACUUGAGUGCAGAAGAGGACAGUGGAACUCCAUGUGUAGCGGUGAAAUGCGUAGAUAUAUGGAAGAACACCAGUGGCGAAGGCGGCUGUCUGGUCUGUAACUGACGCUGAGGCUCGAAAGUAUGGGUAGCAAACAGGAUUAGAUACCCUGGUAGUCCAUACCGUAAACGAUGAAUGCUAAGUGUUGGAGGGUUUCCGCCCUUCAGUGCUGCAGCUAACGCAUUAAGCAUUCCGCCUGGGGAGUACGGCCGCAAAGCUGAAACUCAAAGGAAUUGACGGGGGCCCGCACAAGCGGUGGAGCAUGUGGUUUAAUUCGAAGCUACGCGAAGAACCUUACCAGGUCUUGACAUACUAUGCAAAUCUAAGAGAUUAGACGUUCCCUUCGGGGACAUGGAUACAGGUGGUGCAUGGUUGUCGUCAGCUCGUGUCGUGAGAUGUUGGGUUAAGUCCCGCAACGAGCGCAACCCUUAUUAUCAGUUGCCAGCAUUAAGUUGGGCACUCUGGUGAGACUGCCGGUGACAAACCGGAGGAAGGUGGGGAUGACGUCAAAUCAUCAUGCCCCUUAUGACCUGGGCUACACACGUGCUACAAUGGAUGGUACAACGAGUUGCGAACUCGCGAGAGUAAGCUAAUCUCUUAAAGCCAUUCUCAGUUCGGAUUGUAGGCUGCGACUCGCCUACAUGAAGUCGGAAUCGCUAGUAAUCGCGGAUCAGCAUGCCGCGGUGAAUACGUUCCCGGGCCUUGUACACACCGCCCGU
rnacentral:rRNA from 1 species